rnacentral:rRNA from 1 species
AUUGAACGCUGGCGGCAGGCCUAACACAUGCAAGUCGAGCGGAUGAGAAGAGCUUGCUUCUCGAUUCAGCGGCGGACGGGUGAGUAAUGCCUAGGAAUCUGCCUGAUAGUGGGGGACAACGUUUCGAAAGGAACGCUAAUACCGCAUACGUCCUACGGGAGAAAGCAGGGGACCUUCGGGCCUUGCGCUAUCAGAUGAGCCUAGGUCGGAUUAGCUAGUUGGUGAGGUAAUGGCUCACCAAGGCGACGAUCCGUAACUGGUCUGAGAGGAUGAUCAGUCACACUGGAACUGAGACACGGUCCAGACUCCUACGGGAGGCAGCAGUGGGGAAUAUUGGACAAUGGGCGAAAGCCUGAUCCAGCCAUGCCGCGUGUGUGAAGAAGGUCUUCGGAUUGUAAAGCACUUUAAGUUGGGAGGAAGGGUUGUAGAUUAAUACUCUGCAAUUUUGACGUUACCGACAGAAUAAGCACCGGCUAACUCUGUGCCAGCCGCCGCCGUAAGAC